CCUACGGGACGCAGCAGUGGGGAAUAUUGCACAAUGGGGGGAACCCUGAUGCAGCGACGCCGCGUGAGGGAAGAAGGUUUUUGGAUUGUAAACCUCUGUCCUUGGUAAAGAAGCAAGACGGUAGCCAAGGAGGAAGCCACGGCUAACUACGUGCCAGCAGCCGCGGUAAUACGUAGGGGGCAAGCGUUAUCCGGAUUUACUGGGUGUAAAGGGGGCGCAGACGGCGAUGCAAGCCAGGAGUGAAAGCCCGGGGCCCAACCCCGGGACUGCUCUUGGAACUGCGUGGCUGGAGUGCAGGAGGGGCG
rnacentral:rRNA from 1 species